GAACUGAUUAGAAGCUUGCUUCUAUGACGUUAGCGGCGGACGGGUGAGUAACACGUGGGCAACCUGCCUGUAAGACUGGGAUAACUCCGGGAAACCGGAGCUAAUACCGGAUAACAUUUUCUCUUGCAUAAGAGAAAAUUGAAAGAUGGUUUCGGCUAUCACUUACAGAUGGGCCCGCGGUGCAUUAGCUAGUUGGUGAGGUAACGGCUCACCAAGGCAACGAUGCAUAGCCGACCUGAGAGGGUGAUCGGCCACACUGGGACUGAGACACGGCCCAGACUCCUACGGGAGGCAGCAGUAGGGAAUCUUCCGCAAUGGACGAAAGUCUGACGGAGCAACGCCGCGUGAGUGAUGAAGGCUUUCGGGUCGUAAAACUCUGUUGUUAGGGAAGAACAAGUACAAGAGUAACUGCUUGUACCUUGACGGUACCUACCAGAAAGCCACGGCUAACUACGUGCCAGCAGCCGCGGUAAUACGUAGGUGGCAAGCGUUAUCCGGAAUUAUUGGGCGUAAAGCGCGCGCAGGCGGUUUCUUAAGUCUGAUGUGAAAGCCCACGGCUCAACCGUGGAGGGUCAUUGGAACUGGGGACUUGAGUGCAGAGAAGAAAGCGGAAUCCACGUGUAGCGGUGAAAUGCGUAGAGAUGUGGAGAACACCAGUGGCGAAGGCGGCUUUUGGUCUGUAACUGACGCUGAGGCGCGAAGCGUGGGGAGCAACAGGAUUAGAUACCCUGGUAGU
rnacentral:rRNA from 1 species